rnacentral:rRNA from 1 species
GUUUGAUUCUGGCUCCGCGAUUGAACGCUGGCAGGAUGCUUUACACAUGCAAGUCGAGCAGCGGCGCGGACUUCGGUCACGUUGGCGGAAGUGGCGAACGGGUGAGUAAUGUAUCGGAACGUGCCUAGUAGCGGGGGAUAACUACGCGAAAGCGUAGCUAAUACCGCAUACGCCCUUCGAGGAAAGCGGGGGACCUUCGGGCCUCGCACGCUAGAACAGCCGAUAUCGGAUUAGCUAGUUGGUGGAGUAACGGCUCACCAAGGCGACGAUCCGUAGCUGGUUUGAGAGGACGACCAGCCACACUGGGACUGAGACACGGCCCAGACUCCUACGGGAGGCAGCAGUGGGAAUUUUGGACAAUGGGGGAAACCUGAUCUAGCCAUCCCGCGUGUGCGAUGAAGGCCUUCCCGGGUUGUAAAGCACUUUUGGCAGGAAAAAAGAAACGGCACGGGAUAAUACCCCGUGCAACUGACAGUACCUGCAGAAUAAGCACCAGCUAACUGGUGCCAGCAGCCGCGAUAAUACGUAGGGGGUAUAGCGUUAAUCGGAAUUACUGGGCGUAAAGCGUGCGCAGGCGGUUCGGAAAGAAGAUGUGAAAUCCCAGAGCUUAACUUUGGAACUGCAUUUUUAACUACCGAGCUAGAGUGUGUCAGAGGAGGUGGAAUUCCUUUCGAUGUAGCAGUGAAAUGCGUAGAUAUGCGGAGGAACACCGAUGGCGAAGGCAGCCUCUGAGAUGGCUACUGACGCUCAUGCACGAAAAGCGUGGGAGCAAACAGGAUUAGAUACUGGUAGUCCACGCCCUAAACGUGUCUCAAACUAAGCUGUUGGGGCCUUCGGGCCUUGGUAGCGCAACUAACGCGUGAAGUUGACCGCCUGGGGAUACAGUCGCAGAUUAAAACUCAAGGAAUUGACGGGGACCCACUGGCUUGGUGGAUGAUGUCAGUUAAUUCGAUGCAACGCGAAAACCUUACCUACCCUUGACAUGUCUGGAAUCCAAAAGAAGAGAUUUGGGAGUGCUCGCGAAGAGCCGGAACACAGGUGCUGCAUGGCUGUCGUCAGCUCGUGUGUGAGAUGUUGGGUUAAGUCCCGCAACGAGCGCAACCCUUGUCAUUAGUUGCUACGAGGCACUCUAAUGGGGCCUGCCGGUGACAAACCGGAGGAAGGUGAGAUGACGUCAAGUCCUCAUGGCCCUUAUGGGUAGGGCUUCACACGUCAUACAAUGGUCGGGACAGAGGGUCGCAACCCCGCGAGGGGCCAAUCCCGAAACCCGAUCGUAGUCCCGGGAUCUGAAAAUCUGCAACUCGACUGCGUGAAGUCGGAAUCGCUAGUAAUCGCGGAUCAGCAUGUCGCGGUGAAUACGUUCCGGGUCUUGUACACACCGCCCGUCACACCAUGGAGUGGGUUUUACCAGAAGUAGUUAGCCUAACGCCGUAAGGAGAGGCGAUUACCACGGUAGGAUUCAUGACUGGGGUGAAGUCGCUUUCGAUAA